rnacentral:rRNA from 2 species
ACCCGCUGGAACUUAAGCAUAUCAAUAAGCGGAGGAAAAGAAACCAACAGGGAUUGCCCCAGUAACGGCGAGUGAAGCGGCAACAGCUCAAAUUUGAAAUCUGGCCCCCGGGCCCGAGUUGUAAUUUGCAGAGGAUGCUUCGGGCGCGGCGCCUCCCAAGUCCCCUGGAACGGGGCGCCUGAGAGGGUGAGAGCCCCGUAUGGUUGGACGCCUAGCCCUUGUGAAGCUCCUUCGACGAGUCGAGUAGUUUGGGAAUGCUGCUCAAAAUGGGAGGUAGACCCCUUCUAAGGCUAAAUACCGGCCAGAGACCGAUAGCGCACAAGUAGAGUGAUCGAAAGAUGAAAAGCACUUUGAAAAGAGGGUUAAACAGCACGUGAAAUUGUUGAAGGGGAAGCGCUUGUGACCAGACCUGCGCCGGGGCGAUCAUCCGGCGUUCUCGCCGGUGCACUCGCCCCGGCUCAGGCCAGCGUCGGUUCGGGCGGGGGGAGAAAUGCGCCGGGAACGUGGCUCCCCCGGGAGUGUUAUAGCCCGGCGCGUCAUGUCCCCGCCUGGACCGAGGUUCGCGCUCUGCAAGGACGCUGGCGUAAUGGUCACCAGCGGCCCGUCUUGAAACACGGACCAAGGAGUCGAGGUUCUGCGCGAGUGUCUGGGUGCCAAACCCGCACGCGCAAUGAAAGUGAACGUAGGUGGGAGCUUCGGCGCACCACCGACCGAUCCUGAUGUUCUCGGAUGGAUUUGAGUAGGAGCGUAGGGCCUCGGACCCGAAAGAUGGUGAACUAUGCUUGGAUAGGGUGAAGCCAGAGGAAACUCUGGUGGAGGCUCGCAGCGGUUCUGACGUGCAAAUCGAUCGUCAAAUCUGAGCAUGGGGGCGAAAGACUAAUCGAUCCA